rnacentral:rRNA from 2 species
UACAUGUCAAGGUCGAGCGGACAGAUGGGAGCUUGCUCCCUGAUGUUAGCGGCGGACGGGUGAGUAACACGUGGGUAACCUGCCUGUAAGACUGGGAUAACUCCGGGAAACCGGGGCUAAUACCGGAUGCUUGAUUGAACCGCAUGGUUCAAUUAUAAAAGGUGGCUUUUAGCUACCACUUACAGAUGGACCCGCGGCGCAUUAGCUAGUUGGUGAGGUAACGGCUCACCAAGGCAACGAUGCGUAGCCGACCUGAGAGGGUGAUCGGCCACACUGGGACUGAGACACGGCCCAGACUCCUACGGGAGGCAGCAGUAGGGAAUCUUCCGCAAUGGACGAAAGUCUGACGGAGCAACGCCGCGUGAGUGAUGAAGGUUUUCGGAUCGUAAAACUCUGUUGUUAGGGAAGAACAAGUACCGUUCGAAUAGGGCGGUACCUUGACGGUACCUAACCAGAAAGCCACGGCUAACUACGUGCCAGCAGCCGCGGUAAUACGUAGGUGGCAAGCGUUGUCCGGAAUUAUUGGGCGUAAAGCGCGCGCAGGCGGUUUCUUAAGUCUGAUGUGAAAGCCCCCGGCUCAACCGGGGAGGGUCAUUGGAAACUGGGGAACUUGAGUGCAGAAGAUGAGAGUGGAAUUCCACGUGUAGCGGUGAAAUGCGUAGAGAUGUGGAGGAACACCAGUGGCGAAGGCGACUCUCUGGUCUG